UACGAGGGGGGCAAAUGUUGUUCGGAAUCACUGGGCGUAAAGAGCGUGUAGGCGGCCACGCAGGUCCGUUGUGAAAACUGGAGGCUCAACCUUCAGACGUCGACGGAAACCGUGUGGUUAGAGUCCGGAAGAGGAGAGUGGAAUUCCUGGUGUAGCGGUGAAAUGCGCAGAUAUCAGGAAGAACACCAAUGGCGAAGGCAGCUCACUGGCCCGGUACUGACGCUGAGGUGCGAAAGCGUGGGGAGCAAACAGG
rnacentral:rRNA from 1 species